AUAUUUACUUGUCAAAGAAGAUACCAUGACCACGAAGGUGAUUUCACCAGGGCGAGGCUUGUCUAUUGCAGUCUGGAUGUGCUGACCCCUGCGAUUUCCCCAAAUAUGGGAAACUCGAUUGCAUAAUUUGUGGUAGUGGGGGACUGCAUUCACACUCUCCCCUG